UGAGAACUGAAUUCCAUAGGCUUUGUGAUAACAGAAACGCCCCAUGGAUUCAGUUCUACA
rnacentral:pre_miRNA from 1 species